rnacentral:sRNA from 1 species
CCGUGUUAGGGAUUGCAGCGGAAAACCCACAGCCUGCGCAGGGCCUUUGUGCACAGGCAAAGGCGAGGAUUUGCAGCGUAAAGCCCGGGCUGUA